CAGAGGGUCCCAGCACAGCAGCUGUCUGCCUCGGAAGAUGCCCUGUGAGCAGAGGCCUCAAGCCCUGGACACCUUUAAACUAUCUAAGAGACUCUCUUAAAGCAAACGUAGUGAACUGAAGAGAUCCUGUUGCCAUCGACUCUGGCUCCCAGGCAGUGCUGCCUCAUGACUGUGGCACAGAGACUGGCUAGAUAG